AUUGAACGCUGGCGGCAUGCCUUACACAUGCAAGUCGAACGGCAGCGGACCUUCGGGUGCCGGCGAGUGGCGAACGGGUGAGUAAUAUAUCGGAACGUACCCUUCAGUGGGGGAUAACGUAGCGAAAGUUACGCUAAUACCGCAUAUUCUGUGAGCAGGAAAGCAGGGGAUCGCAAGACCUUGCGCUGAUUGAGCGGCCGAUAUCAGAUUAGCUAGUUGGUGAGGUAAAGGCUCACCAAGGCGACGAUCUGUAGCGGGUCUGAGAGGAUGAUCCGCCACACUGGAACUGAGACACGGUCCAGACUCCUACGGGAGGCAGCAGUGGGGAAUUUUGGACAAUGGGCGCAAGCCUGAUCCAGCCAUGCCGCGUGAGUGAA
rnacentral:rRNA from 1 species